CCUACGGGUGGCAGCAGUAGGGAAUAUUGCUCAAUGGGGGAAACCCUGAAGCAGCAACGCCGCGUGGGGGAUGAAGGUUUUCUGAUUGUAAACUCCUUUUUUUAGAGAAGAUAAUGACGGUAUCUGCCGAAUCAUCCCCGGCUAACUCCGUGCAAGCAGCCGCGGUAAUACGGAGGGUGCAGGCGUUACUCGGAAUUACUGGGCGUAAAGCGCGCGUAGGCGGGAUAGCAAGUCAGAUGUGAAAUCCUAGGGCUUAACCAUAGAAUUGCCGUUGAAACUGUUAUUCUAGAGUAUGGGAGAGGUAGGUGGAAUACUUGGAGUAGGGGUAAAAUCCGUAGAGAUCAAGAGGAAUACUGAUAGCGAAGGCGACUUGCUAGAACAUAACUGACGCUGAUGCGCGAAAGCGUGGGGAGCAAACAGGAUUAGAUACCCCAGUAGUC
rnacentral:rRNA from 1 species